CUCUAAUUUAAUAAAUAGCUAUUAAUUGGAAAUAAUAUAAAUCUAUUUUUCUCUUCUUUCAAGAAUUUGAUUCUAUAAUAAUCUAGUGUCUAAUUUAUGCAUAAUUACAUAGUGUAAUAGCAUAAUUUAAUUAUAAUGAUCCUAUAAGUCCAGGCUAUUUAAUAAAUCAAACUAAUUAUUAGCUAAUAGCUAAUAAUCCUUUAAACACAUUUAUAGGCUUAAGUUAAAAUAACUUAGCUCACUUUAACUAAAUUAAGGGGCCAAUUAAAUUAAUAAUAGUCCAAUAAUAAAUUAAGGCUAACCAAAGCCACCACUCCAUUAAUCAAUCCAAAUACGUAUAAUAAGAAAUGGGCCCAAAUUAUCAAAACCCAUUAGAGUAAGUACAACUAAUAAAACCCAAGCUUAAAUUUUCUUUACCUCUAGCAGUACGUAUAAUCUCCUAAAUCUGCCAUUCUCUCUCUUUUCUCUCUACCGUCUCUCUCUCGCUCUCUCCUCCGGCAGAUGUCGCCGGUCCUCCCCGCCUCCGGCGCGGCGAGGCCGGCCCUCUCCUUCCCCCUCCUUGUCUUUCUUCCCUAUUUUAUUCCCAAUUUCUAAAAUGUCUAAAUCAUAAAAUCUAAUUCUUAGGGUUUCUACCUCCCUUCUUCCCCUCUGAAAUUCGUCUCCCCGGCGCGGCCUGCCUCCACCGCUGUCGUCUCUGUCGUGCUGCCGCCCCUCUAACUCAGAAAUCGAUGCUCUUUGAUGAACAUCGCCGGCGGCAGGCGUCACCGGUCCGACGAGGCAGCCUUGGUUAUACUGUGGCUGUUCGAAUUUCAUUCUUUUGUAUAUACUCAGUUAUUAACUCCUCGUAAAACUAGAAUUUCUUGUAAAAAAAAUAUUCUAGAUGCUAAAGAAAGUUGGUGUUAUUGCUUGGUA